rnacentral:rRNA from 1 species
UACGUAGGGGGCAAGCGUUGUCCGGAUUUAUUGGGCGUAAAGAGCGUGUAGGCGGCCAGGUAGGUCUGCUGUGAAAACUCGAGGCUUAACCUCGAGCUGUCGGCGGAAACCAUCUGGCUAGAGUCCGGAAGAGGAGAAUGGAAUUCCCGGUGUAGCGGUGGAAAUGCGCAGAUAUCAGGAGGAACACCGGUGGCGAAGGCGGCAUCCUGGACCGAUGACUGACGCUGGAGGAGCGAAAGCCAGGGAGCAAGCGGG